GAUGAAGAACGCAGCGAAAUGCGAUAAGUAAUGUGAAUUGCAGAAUUCAGUGAAUCAUCGAAUCUUUGAACGCACAUUGCGCCCCCUGGUAUUCCGGGGGGCAUGCCUGUUCGAGCGUCAUUUCACCACUCAAGCCUCGCUUGGUAUUGGGCAACGCGGUCCGCCGCGUGCCUCAAAUCGACCGGCUGGGUCUUCUGUCCCCUAAGCGUUGAGGAAACUAUUCGCUAAAGGGUGUUCGGGAGGCUACGCCGUAAAACAACCCCAUUUCUAAGGUUGACCUCGGAUCAGGUAGGGAUACCCGCUGAACUUAAGCAUAUCAAUAAGCGGAGGA
rnacentral:misc_RNA from 1 species